rnacentral:rRNA from 1 species
UACGUAGGUGGCGAGCGUUGUCCGGAUUUACUGGGCGUAAAGGGCGUGCAGGCGGUUUGUUAAGUGCAGGGUGAAAGCUCCCGGCUCAACUGGGAGAGGUCCUUGCAUACUGGCGAACUCGAGGGAGGCAGAGGAAAGUGGAAUUCCCGGUGUAGCGGUGAAAUGCGCAGAUAUCAGGAGGAACACCGAUGGCGAAGGCAGGUCUCUGGGCCACUACUGACGCUGAGAAGCGAAAGCAUGGGGAGCGAACAGG